GGGGUUGUAGGACUGCAACGUGGACUUAAAGAUUAUAGAAGAACUACCUGGGAAGGUAGGCCAAAGAGAGUAAUAGCCUCGUAUUCGAAAUAGUCUUUAUACCUAGCAGUAUCCUGAGUACGGCGAGACACGAGAAAUCUCGUCGGAAUCUGGGAGGACCAUCUCCCAACCCUAAAUACUCUCUAGUGACCGAUAGUGAACCAGUACCGUGAGGGAAAGGUGAAAAGCACCCCGGGAGGGGAGUGAAAUAGAACCUGAAACCGUGUGCCUACAACAAGUUCGAGCCCGUUAAUGGGUGAGAGCGUGCCUUUUGUAGAAUGAACCGGCGAGUUACGAUAUGAUGCGAGGUUAAGUUGAAGAGACGGAGCCGUAGGGAAACCGAGUCUUAAUAGGGCGCAUUAGUAUCAUGUCGUAGACCCGAAACCAUGUGACCUACCCAUGAGCAGGUUGAAGGUGAGGUAAAACUCACUGGAGGACCGAACCAGGGCACGUUGAAAAGUGCUUGGAUGACUUGUGGGUAGCGGAGAAAUUCCAAACGAACUUGGAGAUAGCUGGUUCUCUCCGAAAUAGCUUUAGGGCUAGCGUCGAUGUUAAGUCUCUUGGAGGUAGAGCACUGUUUGGGUGAGGGGUCCAUCCCGGAUUACCAAUCUCAGAUAAACUCCGAAUGCCAAUGAGAUAUAAUCGGCAGUCAGACUGCGAGUGCUAAGAUCCGUAGUCGAAAGGGAAACAGCCCAGACCACCAGCUAAGGUCCCAAAAUAAUUGUUAAGUGGAAAAGGAUGUGGGGUUGCACAGACAACUAGGAUGUUAGCUUGGAAGCAGCUAUUCAUUCAAAGAGUGCGUAAUAGCUCACUAGUCGAGUGACCCUGCGCCGAAAAUGUACCGGGGCUAAAACAUAUUACCGAAGCUGUGGAUACCUUUAUAGGUAUGGUAGGAGAGCGUUCUAUGUGCGAAGAAGGUGUACCGUGAGGAGUGCUGGAGCGCAUAGAAGUGAGAAUGCCGGUAUGAGUAGCGAAAGACAGGUGAGAAUCCUGUCCACCGUAAGACUAAGGUUUCCAGGGGAAGGCUCGUCCGCCCUGGGUUAGUCGGGACCUAAGGAGAGACCGAAAGGUGUAUCCGAUGGACAACAGGUUGAUAUUCCUGUACUAGAGUAUAUAGUGAUGGAGGGACGCAGUAGGCUAACUAAACCAGACGAUUGGAAGUGUCUGGCCAAGCAGUGAGGUGUGAUAUGAGUCAAAUGCUUAUAUCUAUAACAUUGAGCUGUGAUGGGGAGCGAAGUUUAGUAGCGAAGUUAGUGAUGUCACACUGCCAAGAAAAGCUUCUAGCGUUAAUUAUACUCUACCCGUACCGCAAACCGACACAGGUAGUCGAGGCGAGUAGCCUCAGGUGAGCGAGAGAACUCUCGUUAAGGAACUCGGCAAAAUGGCCCCGUAACUUCGGGAGAAGGGGCGCUGACUUAUGGUCAGCCGCAGUGAAUAGGCCCAAGCAACUGUUUAUCAAAAACACAGCUCUCUGCUAAAUCGUAAGAUGAUGUAUAGGGGGUGACGCCUGCCCGGUGCUGGAAGGUUAAGAGGAGGAGUGAGAGCCCCGAAUCGAAGCCCCAGUAAACGGCGGCCGUAACUAUAACGGUCCUAAGGUAGCGAAAUUCCUUGUCGGGUAAGUUCCGACCCGCACGAAAGGCGUAAUGAUUUGGGCACUGUCUCAAC
rnacentral:rRNA from 1 species